UGAUCUCUCACUCGUUGUUCACUCAAGUUUUAUAGAAAUGUGACAAAUGGCUGGUAAUGUUUCUAAAAUAUUUGCACAUGUAAAAUGCCUUAAGCAUCUGUAAUGUACAUACACAAAGUAUAAUGACUUUAAUAUUACAAGUAUUACUAUUACACAAAUUAUCACUCUCCUUAAAAUGUGUUUACAUGUUGAAAGUAAAUUACAACAUUAUUUGAGGAUGAAUAAAUUGGUUAAAAAAAAUAAAAAUAAAAAAAUGCCACAGAGAAACUGGUUAAAAUAGCAAAUGUCAAUAUUUAUAUUUAUUUUAUCAGAAUCAUUAUUUGAUUUGGUCAAAUUCCACUUUUCCCCCCAACUCAUUUGUACUUAAAACAUUGUUGUACAUGAAACAUGUUUCUGUGUUUUAGAAAAUGAACCAUGUUCAGCACUCUUCCAUGUGGUGUUUGUCUGCAAUAUUCUAAUUUUGCUCUUCAGUGGAACAGUGAACAUAAUUCUAUGUGAAAGACUGAGAAGAAAAUGUGAACAGUGUGCUGCACAGCAGAGACGGGUUCAACACACUCCGUUGGACGGUGACCCACCUCAACCAAAUCACUCUAAUGAUCAAGAUAUUGUGGACCUGAACUACACAAUGCUACAGUUUCCUGGGGACAACACAAACACAGAGGGCUCUGUGAGUGUGCAGAGAGAGAAUAAAAUAAAGGACACAGUGUAUUCCAGCCUAAAAUGUAAAAUCUCAAACAUUACUGAUGAGAACUAAUUUAUUUUUUAUAAAUUUUUUUUUUUUUUUUAUUGUUUAAAGACUGUUGACACAUGACAUGAUUGGACUGAAAUAAGUAUUUAUAUUAAAUUGUUUAAUUACCUAAGACUUGGAAAAUAUGGUGUUCCUUAUCUUCAACAGAAUUCCAUCAACCAUACAGGUUGCAUCAUAUAGAUUAUGGGCUUCACAUUAAGCUUUUCCAGAUAUUAGUCUUUAAAACUGAUUGUUUACAUGUCUGAAAGCCUACGUCACUGGCCCAAAAACAGUUUAAUAGUAUUAAGUGUAUUUUUUUUAUCUUUAUUUUUUAUUAUGUUGAAUAUAAUAGUAUUAUUCAAUGUUGUAUUUCUAUCUUGAUUUCAUCACUUUUACUCAACAUUGCAAGGCUAUGUGAUAGAACCCUCGAGCCUUCAUUUUAGAAAUGCUCUAAUUUCAAAGUAAAUUGAACCCUCCACAAUUCAUCCCUAAACUGUGUGAUGUCUAGUACAAAGAGUGAUGCUGUUAAAACCUAGUUCAGAUGGCAAAUCAAAUACAGAUCACAUUAUUAUUUUUGUAAAUCCUUUUUACACAGAGACUUACCACUUAAACUGUAACCUCAGGAGUGUGGUUAAAAUGUGCAAGAGUAAUUUCACCCCUUUUGCUAAUUUCUAAUUGGUAAAACAACAGGUGUCCAACCUUUAUUAUUAUUAUUGGGGGUUAGAUGCAGAAAAAAAAUAAAAAAUAAAAUGUGUCAUG